GACGAACGCUGGCGGCGUGCCUAAUACAUGCAAGUCGAGCGGACAGAUAAGGAGCUUGCUCCUUUGAAGUUAGCGGCGGACGGGUGAGUAACACGUGGGCAACCUGCCCUGUAGAUUGGGAUAACUCCGGGAAACCGGGGCUAAUACCGAAUAAUACUUUUUAGCUCAUGCUAGAAAGUUGAAAGAUGGUUCUGCUAUCACUACAGGAUGGGCCCGCGGCGCAUUAGCUAGUUGGUGAGGUAACGGCUCACCAAGGCGACGAUGCGUAGCCGACCUGAGAGGGUGAUCGGCCACACUGGGACUGAGACACGGCCCAGACUCCUACGGGAGGCAGCAGUAGGGAAUCUUCCACAAUGGGCGAAAGCCUGAUGGAGCAACGCCGCGUGAGUGAAGAAGGAUUUCGGUUCGUAAAACUCUGUUGUAAGGGAAGAACAAGUAGCGUAGUAACUGGCGCUACCUUGACGGUACCUUAUUAGAAAGCCACGGCUAACUACGUG
rnacentral:rRNA from 1 species